rnacentral:rRNA from 1 species
GGCCGAAAGGCGUAGUCGAUGGGAAACAGGUUAAUAUUCCUGUACUUGGUGUUACUGCGAAGGGGGGACGGAGAAGGCUAUGUUGGCCGGGCGACGGUUGUCCCGGUUUAAGCGUGUAGGCUGGUUUUCCAGGCAAAUCCGGAAAAUCAAGGCUGAGGCGUGAUGACGAGGCACUACGGUGCUGAAGCAACAAAUGCCCUGCUUCCAGGAAAAGCCUCUAAGCAUCAGGUAACAUCAAAUCGUACCCCAAACCGACACAGGUGGUCAGGUAGAGAAUACCAAGGCGCUUGAGAG